AAUUUCUACAUGAUGAUUUGAGAAUAAUGCAUAGUUCAUCUGAGGGUUCAACCAAUGAACGAAAAUAAUCAAAAUUGUCUUUCGCUCCUAUCUGAUUAAUUA
rnacentral:snoRNA from 1 species